AUAUAACCUCAAACCUUUUCUUUGUUGAAGGGAUUGGAUGUGGGGGUUUUGCUGGGCCUCUUAAGAGGUUCAGCUCCUCUGAAAUGCAUUAGCAGAACAACCUUGCUCAUUGGUGUGAUAACUAUCUACGCUUAUGAAUGCAAGGGGCAGUUCAGCUUUCUAACUGUCUUUGGACAAUUCAUCAUUA
rnacentral:misc_RNA from 1 species